rnacentral:rRNA from 1 species
AACGAACGCUGGCGGCAGGCUUAACACAUGCAAGUCGAACGCCCCGCAAGGGGAGUGGCAGACGGGUGAGUAACGCGUGGGAAUCUACCCAGCUCUACGGAACAACUCCGGGAAACUGGAGCUAAUACCGUAUACGUCCUUCGGGAGAAAGAUUUAUCGGAGUUGGAUGAGCCCGCGUUGGAUUAGCUAGUUGGUGGGGUAACGGCCUACCAAGGCUACGAUCCAUAGCUGGUCUGAGAGGAUGAUCAGCCACACUGGGACUGAGACACGGCCCAGACUCCUACGGGAGGCAGCAGUGGGGAAUAUUGGACAAUGGGCGCAAGCCUGAUCCAGCCAUGCCGCGUGAGUGAUGAAGGCCCUAGGGUUGUAAAGCUCUUUCGCCAGGGACGAUAAUGACGGUACCUGGAUAAGAAGCCCCGGCUAACUUCGUGCCAGCCGCCGCGGUAACAC